rnacentral:rRNA from 1 species
UGGGGAAUCUUGGACAAUGGGGGCAACCCUGAUCCAGCCAUGCCGCGUGGGUGAAGAAGGCCUUAGGGUUGUAAAGCCCUUUCAGUCGUGACGAUGAUGACGGUAGCGACAGAAGAAGCCCCGGCUAACUCCGUGCCAGCAGCCGCGGUAAUACGGAGGGUGCAAGCGUUGUCCGGAUUUAUUGGGUUUAAAGGGUGCGUAGGCGGUUUAUUAAGUCAGUGGUGAAAGCCCACAGCUCAACUGUGGAAUUGCCAAUGAAACUGGUAGACUUGAGUACAGUCGAGGUAGGCGGAAUUUAUGGUGUAGCGGUGAAAUGCAUAGAUACCAUAAAGAACCCCGAUAGCGAAGGCAGCUUACUAGAGUGUAACUGACGCUGAGGCACGAAAGCGUGGGGAGCGAACAGGAUUAGAUACCCCUGUAGUCC